UACCUGUGCAACGGUGCUUACACGAGCAAUUUUUACCGAAGGAUGCAAGUCUGUUGCUGCAGGAAUGAAUGCAAUGGACCUAAGGCGUGGCAUAACAAUGGCAGUUGAUGCCGUUGUAACAAACUUGAAAAGCCGGGCAAGGAUGAUUAGCACAUCUGAAGAGAUUGCUCAGGUUGUUUUACUAUCUGAGCUUUUUCUAUCAAAAGCUUAUUGCAGUCAGAAUCAUACAGUACUUUAGAAUAAAAAGCCAAAAUGUUGGUAAACUUUUAAUCUACUAAGUCUUCAUCUUAAAUAUUUUGCAAUAGGUUGGAACAAUAUCGGCUAAUGGAGAGAGGGAAAUUGGUGAGUUGAUUGCAAAGGCCAUGGAGAAGGUUGGCAAAGAAGGGGUGAUAACAAUUCAGGUAUCAGUACCGACAUAUCAUAUCAGCUUGAGGAUAUUCCUAUUUUCUUGUAAUUUUACUAGUUUUUGUUGCUCAUGCUUGGCAUAUAAUUUUUGAACUAUUUUAUACCUGAUACGAUGUCUUACUGUGGGUUAUUCCUGCGCUUUAAACCUUUGCAGGAUGGUAAAACAUUAUAUAAUGAGUUGGAAGUUGUUGAGGGCAUGAAGCUAGACAGGGGCUACAUAUCCCCAUAUUUCAUCACCAACACUAAAACCCAAAAAUGUGUAAGUAACUGAUUUCUCCUUUGGUUAAACUGGAAAAUCUCUGAGUCUUGAGUCUUGACCAUGCUAUGGCUCUGAUUCAAUUCACCGUGUUAUGGCAGGAAUUAGAUGAUCCUCUUAUCCUAAUUCAUGAGAAGAAAGUAUCAAGCUUGAAUGCUGUUGUAAAAGUAUUAGAGUUAGCUUUAAAGGUAAGCAAAUUUUGAACAAAUCAUGCAUUAUGAACAUUCUGGCUGAAUUAAUUUUGAUUAAUCAUCAUUCAUCACAAUUGUUUAUCUCACUAAACGGUAUGAAAUUUCUUAAAAUAACUUCUACACUUGAUUUGUACCAUUAACAUCUUCUAUGCUAUAUUUGUUCAGAGACAAAGGCCCUUGCUGAUUGUAGCUGAAGAUGUAGAGAGCGAAGCACUUGCUACGCUAAUUCUGAACAAGCUUCGUGCUGGAAUCAAGGUUUGAUAUUCAGUCUGAUAUGAAUCCUUUUUACUGUUGUCCUAUGUUAAUGUCCUCAUUUGUAGGAAUGCUUGCUAAUCUAUAUGGAUUAUUUAUGGUGCAGGUCUGUGCCAUCAAAGCCCCCGGUUUUGGAGAAAACAGGAAGUCUAGUCUGCAUGAUCUUGCUGUCCUCACAGGAGGAGAGGUAGGACAAUUUUGUGUUUCUGCGAUAUGAUAUUUCCUUGUUCGUAGCCUACAGUUCCUCGAACAUGAAUUUUCAUGACCUCUUGAUGAUGGUAUCUGUUACUUCUCUACUGUAGGUUAUAACAGAAGAACUUGGCAUGAACCUUGAAAAGGUGGAUCUGGACAUGCUCGGCACUUGCAAAAAGGUAUGAUUUCUAUAGUUUGGACAUGAAAGUGUUUACUUAAUGUGAUAUGUUCUUAUAUAAGCAGGAAGUUCUCGAGUUUGGUAAAACAAUUUUAUUUAGUCCCUUUUUACGUGUGGUUUUCUUUUUUGAUGCAUGAUUCUUCUCCUUUUGGGUGUUAAAGGUUACUGUCUCGAAGGAUGACACUGUUAUUCUUGAUGGGAAUGGUGACAAGAAAGCCAUUGAGGAAAGAUGCGAACAGGUCUUGUUCUUUUACAAACAAUUGUUUAGCCAUCUUAUGAUUCUUGAACUCUGCAUGAUUUUUAUUAAUAAUCCUGGUUGUAAUGUCUUUCAUGAUAACAGAUUAGAUCAGCAAUUGAAUUGAGCACCUCUGAUUAUGAUAAGGAGAAGUUGCAAGAGAGAUUGGCAAAACUUUCUGGCGGUGUGGCUGUUUUGAAGGUAUAGUUUCCUUACAGUUACUGGCAUUUGUUAGCUUGUCAACUUCGAGUGGCAAUAGCUGUUCCUUUCCUAUUUGCUGUUGUUUGAAUGCAAUUUAACGAAGAAUUCGUUGGAAAUUGCAGAUCGGAGGAGCUAGUGAAGCUGAAGUUGGCGAGAAGAAGGAUAGAGUUACAGAUGCACUGAAUGCAACAAAAGCAGCUGUAGAAGAGGGUAUUGUGCCAGGUAAAAACUUUUAGUCUUAAUGGUUUUUCAUUAAGUUUCAGUUAAUCUUGGAAUAUAAUUCAAUAUAUGGAAACAUCUAGGUGGUGGUGUCGCUCUGUUGUAUGCAUCGAAAGAGUUGGACAAGCUACCUACAGCUAACUUUGACCAGAAGAUUGGUGUUCAAAUAAUCCAGAAUGCUCUAAAGGUUUGCAACUCUUUUCUGCAUGUCAGAUAGGUUCAAAUUCUGAAAAUUCUAUUCUUGAUAUACUGUUGAAAGUCUAGACAGCUCUUCCACUAUACAGUUUCAAAAUGCUGGUGAUUUUGAUGUGUGAAGUUACAAUCUUCCUCAUAAAUGAAUUCAUUGCAGACACCUGUGCACACAAUUGCUUCAAAUGCUGGAGUCGAGGGAGCUGUUAUUGUUGGUAAGCUGUUGGAGCAGGAUAACCCUGAUCUUGGCUAUGAUGCAGCCAAAGGUUUGUGAAUCUCUUGGAAGGUUUUUUCAUCGUAUAUUUUUACUGUUCUAAUGAAAUUGACACAGCUUAUAUUCCUAUGUUUGGUGUAUAACCAGGUGAAUAUGUCGAUAUGGUAAAGGCUGGUAUUAUUGAUCCAUUGAAAGUAAUUAGAACUGCUUUGGUCGAUGCUGCAAGGUAAGUGUAAAUUGGUAGUUUUGCUUGGGCCCUGACUUAAAAUCUUAAAAGUAACAAGCUGAGUAUGUUUCCUUUCUGAUGCAGCGUGUCAUCAUUGAUGACAACUACCGAAGCUGUUGUAGUCGAACUUCCAAAGGAUGAGAAGGAUGUUCCGGCAAUGCCUGGCAGUAUGGGUGGCAUGGAUUAUUAAGGUUAUUCCCCCUAACAAUACACUGAUUUUAAGUGCUUUCCUCUAAUCUAUUUCCAUUUCCUCAACAUCUGUGAGAAAAAGAAUAUCCGAGUCUCGAUGUCUAAGUUGGAAGGUGGUUUUGGUGAUAAAGGGUCAACAGGACUCUCUUAUUGUUGUUGCUAGAAAGAACGAACUAGUUUGUAUUGGGCCAUUUUAUCUUGAAAUAAAUGGAAAAAAUGAACAGAAAAAAAAAACUUUCACUUUCGACUGUGAUCGAUAUGAGUUUCUGCAAAGAAUCUUUUGAUUAUUCUUAUGCUGUAGUGUUCAAAGCAUGGGUUUUUUUUUUUUUUUUUUGGCUCAGUGCUAUGAUCAUUUUAAAUAUAAAGUUAACAUUAGUUUAGAUAAACUUAUUCAAGUAGUGCUAUCAAUGAGGCCGAGGUCGUGGGAUGGGAUUUUGAUGUCUUUCUUGUCGUGCUGGAUUGUGUCCAAUUUUUACUUUAUUUAAAUUCUAUCAUAUUGGAUUUUUUCAUAGUUAUUUUGGUUUUCCGAAUAUAUUCCGGUUAUUGAUUAUUGUUUAUUGUUGUUUAUUCGGAUAUGUAUUGUUUGUAAUGGUAUUUACAUUGUGUAAUUUAAAGCUUUAGCUUUGUUCUCUUCAGCCUGAGGUGAAAAACCUGAGUGGUAACAUGUUUAAUGAAAACGUGGGAAAAUUUUACUUGGGGGGCGGGACCACUUACCGCAUGCUGUCUUCGCAAUUAAGUUAUUAUGCUAAAAUAUACUGAAUUUUAAUUUCCCCAUUUUUGGGUUUAAAUGUUCAAAUUUAACUUUUAACAUUGUUUUAUAAUACAAAUAUUAUUUUCGUUUUAUUUUAUAUUUCUAUAUAUAACAUCCAGAGAAAAAAUACAUUUCUGAUAUGGAACAUUAUUAAAUUUGAAAAUAGAACAUUCUUUUCAUUUUUUCCAUUUUCGCUUUAAGUUUCAUUUAAUUUUUAUAUCAAUUUUUUUAUAAAUUUGUUAUAUAUUCAACCACCUAUUGAUAGGUAAUAAUUUUAUUUUGAAAUAUCAAAAAGAUAGUUUUACAAAACAACAAAAUCAUUUUGAAAGUAUUUUUAUCUUUUUAUAUUUUUAAAUAAAAUUAACAAAAUACAUGUAAGUAGUUAUAAUUUGUACUUUCUUAGUUACAUCAUUUAAUUAUUGUCGCAUUCAAUUUUUAUAAAUUUUUUUACAUAUUUGUUGUAUAAAAAUUUUCACCAACUUUAAACUCUAAUACAUUUUAAAAAUAAAUUUUUAAAAAUUAUAUAUGAAAUUUAAUUUAAUGUGUAAUCGUACAUAAAUUUUGAUUUUAUGCGGUUCUUAUACAUGAAAUUGUGAGUUUUAGAAAUUUUUAACAUUAUUGAAUUAACACCAUUUUUACGCUGAUAUAUUACAUAUAAAAAUAAUUAUAUUAAUUUAAUAUGAAAAUAAAUAUAUAUUUAUUUUUUAAAGUGUAUACUUGAUUUAAAAUUUUAUAUGUAUAUGUAUAUACGAAUUACAAUUUAAAUUUUAUGUGAACAAUUGCAUCAAAACAAAGUUAAUAUGUCAAAUUACAUAUUUUUUCAAAUUUUAUGUAUAGAUUAAAUAUUUAUCUUUUCGCAGUUUUAUUCUUAUUAACACAAUAUUUUAUUUUUAAAGGAUUUUGGAUAAAUUUGAAAAAUUUUGAAAAGGGUAAUUUAUAUUUCUAGUAUUUUUACUAUUUCAAUGGAUAUAUUUUAAAAAAUUGGUUAAAUUAUUAUAUAUUAAGUCGUAAGUAUUUCUUUACCUGUUUAUAUAAUCUAACAUUAUUUUUAUAGUGUUAAAAGAACAUUAGUUUUCUUAAAAUUAUUUUCGGUACAUAUUUGAAAAUUAUUAUUAAUAUAUCAUAUUACACACCUAUAUUAUAAUGUAUACAAAUAUAUUUGACAAUUUUUUAAUGUAGAAGGUUUAAAAUGAUAAUAAGUGACGUUUUUUUUAUGAUUGACAAAUAGUAUUUACCGAUUAAUUAUAUCUCUUGAUAUCAAAAGUUUAAUAAUACCUUAAAGUUAAUUAAUUUUUUUUAGUUAAAUUGUAUUUUUAUGUGCUACUAAUUUCAAAUUUUUAAUAAUAUUAUACAUAUAAUCUAUAAAAUAAAAUAAAAUAUACUACGAAAUGUAAUAAUAUAUUUUUUAUUGAUAGAUAAACAAUUAGUAUAUCCGACGAAAUAAAAAAAAUACAUAUACAUAUUUGAAUAUAGCGUUAUUCGAAUAAGAUUAAAUCAACUAACAUACCAGUCCAGGCAAAAGGACUGAAUUUCUAAAUGAAUUGUUGAAAACUGAUAAAAUAAAAGAUUAAGAUAAAAAUGAUAAGUAAACUGAUUUUAUAAAUAUUUUUAUGAUCUUUAAUUACUUUUUUUUGAUAAAAUGACUUAUUUAGUGAUUAUUAGAUAGAUAAUUAAAUUAAUUCUUAAUUUAUUUGAUAACUUAUCCAAUUUUUAAAAUUUUCAUUCAAUACUGCAACACAAUUUGAUAACACCACACUACCGUAUAAAACAUAGACGUGAUUUGCUUGAGAAGACGUUUACUACUUUUCUUAUUAUUAAUAUUUUUGAAACUUUAUGGGUAAUGUCCUGACUAUUACUAUAUAAUUAUUUGUUAUUUAGAAUAUGUUAGAAAAUGAAAGAAAUUGGAAGCUUCAAGUAAGAUGAUUAUAGUCCAAACUUAGCUACCUAGCUUUCUAAAAUACAACAUUUAAUAUUCAGUCAAAGGAGUCGAUUUGAGUCUUAGUUAAAUUAACAUUCGCAUUAUUAUUAAUACACGAGGAUGUAAGUUUAAGUGUAUUAUCUUUCUAUUUAUGGGUUGAAGAAAGGCUACUAUGAAUAGUUUUAGGCAUUGCAACAAAAAUUUUCCUUAUUAUCUAAUGUUAGCCACAAACCAAAUUUACUUGAUCAAAGAUCAUUAUAGUUAAACUCUCGUAAUUGGUUUAGUGGUCAAUAACUAUUCACCCAUAAAAUUCACCUGAGUUUGAAUAUUUGGGUAGUAAAUAAUAAAUUUUUAUUUGAAUAACUCUCUCUAUUCACUAAUUAUUAAUUUAAGUUACUACAUGCAUUAGAUUAGAAUUAUCUCUAUGAAAAAUGAAUUCAUUUAAUUUUUUUAAUGAUAACUUUAAAAUUUUAAAAUUAUUGUUAAGAAAAAUUAUAAAAGGAUGAAAUUGAUAUUUUAAUUAUAAUUUAGGGGUUAAAUUAAGUAUUAACCUAUAAAUUCUGAGGUAUCAUUUUAUCAAAGGAUUAACACGACAUCCGAUAACAGACAAAUGAUUAAAAUAUUAUAAAUGGAUAAAUUUAAUAAUUAGUUUAUAACUUAAAUUUCACCAAAUAAUUUUUCCUAAAAAAAAAAACUGAAGAGUUUUUUAUUUUAAUAUUUCUUUAAAAAAGAAAAAGAAACGUUAAAAAAAUGAAGUUGGAAUGAUAAAACCCUAAACCCUAAAGAAGGGUUAAGAAACUGCUGCUCCUGCUUCUAGACCCUUCUUCUCUCCCAUCUCUUUCUGGGUUUCCUUUUCCCUCUUUUAAAACGCACCCCUGAAACCCACCCAUUGUCUUUUGUCAACCCACAAACAGCUUUACUGUUAACAUUUUACUCAAGAUUUUCCUCCUUUUCUUUCCUCCCAAAAUAACCAUGUAUCGUUUUGCUUCAAGCCUUGCUUCUAAAGCUCGGUACUACGUUCACUGCAAUUACUUCAUCUACUUGUCAUUUUAUUUUAUUUUUGUUGAUUUGGAAUUAACUAACUUAUUCCCCUUUCUUCAUUUUCAAUCUUUGGUUUCAGGGCUGCUAGGAACACUACAUAUCAGGUAGUUUAGUGACCAGUACUUACAUUCUUUUUAUUAUUGUUAUUAUUAUUAAUGUUUGAUUAGAUCUUUUUUAAUUGAUUUCUGUUUUUCUUUGGGUGCGUGUUAGACUGGUAGUAGGUUGAGUUGGAAUAGGAACUAUGCUGCAAAAGAUAUUAAAUUUGGGGUUGAAGCUCGAGCUUUGAUGCUUAAAGGUGUUGAAGAGCUUUCUGAUGCUGUUAGAGUAACCAUGGGUCCUAAGGUAAAUCCAAUAUUCACCAUUUCAUUUGAGUUAUUUUCUUUUAUGUACUCGUUCUGUUUCAAGGUUAAUCAUUCACUGGAACUGUUUAUGCCUUCUCUUCUAUAUUGAACAAGAAGUAGGGACUUAAUAUUUAUAGGUAGAGAUAUUGAUAGAUGGAAGAAAUAAUGUUACAUACUUGUAGGGUCGGAAAGUGGUUAUUGAACAAAGCUACGGUGCUCCAAAAGUGACUAAAGAUGGUGUCACUGUUGCAAAGAGUAUUGAAUUCAAAGACAAAGUGAAGAACGUUGGUGCGAGUCUUGUGAAACAAGUUGCAAAUGCCACCAAUGAUGUAGCUGGUGAUGGUAAGGCACAAGCGCCUUUUCUAAUCUACUAGAUUCACUUGAAACCUUUGGAUCUGUUUCCAAUCUAGUAGAAAGCCGAGUUGUGAAAUUCAUUGACAUUUUUGCAGGAACUACCUGUGCAACGGUGCUUACACGAGCAAUUUUUACCGAAGGAUGCAAGUCUGUUGCUGCAGGAAUGAAUGCAAUGGACCUUAGGCGUGGCAUAACAAUGGCAGUUGAUGCCGUUGUAACAAACUUGAAAAGCCGGGCAAGGAUGAUUAGCACAUCUGAAGAGAUUGCUCAGGUUGUUUUACUAUCUGAAGCUUUUCUAUCAAAAGCUUAUUGCAGU
rnacentral:lncRNA from 1 species